ACGAACUUCCGUUAAUUGUAUUAUGACGUGCUUGCACUGAAUGAGAUUUUAACACGAAGUGAGUGGCGGACGGGUGAGUAACACGUGGGUAACCUGCCCAGGAGCAGGGGAUAACACCUGGAAACAGAUGCUAAUACCGUAUAACAGAGAAAACCGCCUGGUUUUCUUUUAAAAGAUGGCUCUGCUAUCACUUCUGGAUGGACCCGCGGCGCAUUAGCUAGUUGGUGAGGUAACGGCUCACCAAGGCGAUGAUGCGUAGCCGACCUGAGAGGGUAAUCGGCCACAUUGGGACUGAGACACGGCCCAGACUCCUACGGGAGGCAGCAGUAGGGAAUCUUCCACAAUGGACGCAAGUCUGAUGGAGCAACGCCGCGUGAGUGAAGAAGGGUUUCGGCUCGUAAAGCUCUGUUGUUAAAGAAGAACGUGGGUGAGAGUAACUGUUCACCCAGUGACGGUAUUUAACCAGAAAGCCACGGCUAACUACGUGCCAGCAGCCGCGGUAAUACGUAGGUGGCAAGCGUUAUCCGGAUUUAUUGGGCGUAAAGCGAGCGCAGGCGGUCUUUUAAGUCUAAUGUGAAAGCCUUCGGCUCAACCGAAGAAGUGCAUUGGAAACUGGGAGACUUGAGUGCAGAAGAGGACAGUGGAACUCCAUGUGUAGCGGUGAAAUGCGUAGAUAUAUGGAAGAACACCAGUGGCGAAGGCGGCUGUCUGGUCUGUAACUGACGCUGAGGCUCGAAAGCAUGGGUAGCGAACAGGAUUAGAUACCCUGGUAGUCCAUGCCGUAAACGAUGAUUACUAAGUGUUGGAGGGUUUCCGCCCUUCAGUGCUGCAGCUAACGCAUUAAGUAAUCCGCCUGGGGAGUACGACCGCAAGGUUGAAACUCAAAAGAAUUGACGGGGGCCCGCACAAGCGGUGGAGCAUGUGGUUUAAUUCGAAGCUACGCGAAGAACCUUACCAGGUCUUGACAUCUUCUGCCAACCUAAGAGAUUAGGCGUUCCCUUCGGGGACAGAAUGACAGGUGGUGCAUGGUUGUCGUCAGCUCGUGUCGUGAGAUGUUGGGUUAAGUCCCGCAACGAGCGCAACCCUUAUUACUAGUUGCCAGCAUUCAGUUGGGCACUCUAGUGAGACUGCCGGUGACAAACCGGAGGAAGGUGGGGACGACGUCAAAUCAUCAUGCCCCUUAUGACCUGGGCUACACACGUGCUACAAUGGAUGGUACAACGAGUUGCGAAACCGCGAGGUUUAGCUAAUCUCUUAAAACCAUUCUCAGUUCGGACUGUAGGCUGCAACUCGCCUACACGAAGUCGGAAUCGCUAGUAAUCGCGGAUCAGCAUGCCGCGGUGAAUACGUUCCCGGGCCUUGUACACACCGCCCGUCACACCAUGAGAGUUUGUAACACCCAAAGCCGGUGGGGUAACCUUUUAGGAGCUA
rnacentral:rRNA from 1 species